GGUAACAUGAGUACUUGUACUUGAUGACGACCGGCGCACGGGUGCGUAACGCGUAUGCAAUCUACCCAUUACUGGAGGAUAGCCCGGGGAAACCCGGAUUAAUACUCCAUAGUAUACUAAAGUCGCAUGGCUUAAGUAUUAAAGAUUUAUUGGUAAUGGAUGAGCAUGCGUAUCAUUAGUUUGUUGGUGAGGUAACGGCUCACCAAGACUACGAUGAUUAGGGGGCCUGAGAGGGUGAUCCCCCACACUGGUACUGAGACACGGACCAGACUCCUACGGGAGGCAGCAGUAGGGAAUAUUGGUCAAUGGACGAGAGUCUGAACCAGCCAUGCCGCGUGCAGGAAGACGGCCUUAUGGGUUGUAAACUGCUUUUGACAGGGAAGAAAACGGCUAUGCGUAGCUAACUGACGGUACCUGUAGAAUAAGCACCGGCUAACUCCGUGCCAGCAGCCGCGGUAAUACGGAGGGUGCAAGCGUUGUCCGGAUUUAUUGGGUUUAAAGGGUGCGUAGGUGGCCUAUUAAGUCAGUGGUGAAAUUUUGCAGCUUAACUGUAUAAAGUGCCAUUGAUACUGGUAGGCUUGAGUAUCGUAGAGGUAGGCGGAAUUUAUGAUGUAGCGGUGAAAUGCAUAGAUAUCAUAAAGAACACCGAUAGCGAAGGCAGCUUACUAAGCGAUAACUGACACUAAUGCACGAAAGCGUGGGUAGCGAACAGGAUUA
rnacentral:rRNA from 1 species